CUUAUCAGAUUCCGAUCGUUCUGUUUUGUAACCUCGAUUCGUUUCUCAAUUUUCGACUAGUUGUAUAAAGUAUAUCUUUAAAAGAGAAGAUAAUAACAGCCUUGGUUAUACUAAUUAGGAGCAAUAAAUAUUUAUGUUGAAUAUUUCUCGAUCUCCUUCUGCAACGUAGGUUGCUGCAAUUGACAAAAUGGUGACCGUAAUUUGGCGACAUCUAAAGCAACGUUCGCGAAGUCGUGGCACAGAUAACUGUUGGCAUAGUAGGGCAUGGAAACUUCGUUACCUACAGAAAAUCUGUUUCACUGAAAUUGAUUCGAAAGUAACAGGACAAUUGGACAUCGUGUUUGCAAGUAUAAUUUUAGUAAAAAUAUCGUGAAAAUCAAGAAACAUGAUCUAGACUCAACGUUUCCCAAAGUCGCACAAAGUUAGUUAACCUCAAACGGACUGCAUGCAAAUGGUGAACGGUGUGCGUCACGACGUACAAAAACCUAAUUCCAAAUUUUAUGACUACAUAAAAGUUUCACUACCAUUUCCUCGAAUGGAAACGUGACCAUGGAUCACUGCGUGGUAUAAAUGCUUGCUUUACAAUCGAAGAAAUUUCUUCCGGUCCACGUUCUCCAAGAAAUAACUUUUCCCGCCAAUUGUGCCUCCCGGAAGAGAUCUGAUUGCAAUUUCUAACCGGCCCCGUAGGAGGAAGAUCGAGUUUUACAACUCGCUUCCGUGAACGAUGACCUACCUGUACGAGGAAAACUCUCGGACAAGGUGCCUCGGGAUGGUGAAAUUCCUUGCUACGCGUAAUCGUCGCGUACCUGACGGGUUUCGUGAUUCAUUGCGCAUCGCGUGGGUGCCCAGUAUUUGAAUAAGUUGAUUCCUCCCGCGCGGAUGACUCGCGGACGAUUUUCUGAUUGUCCGUUCGCAAUUCCGGCGUUUGACGGCGAGAUAAGUUUAAUCCGCAACAAUGGAAAAUUUUUCUCAUGUACAGAGUGAUCCAUGUGAAAUGGGCGAAUGUUGCAGGCAGGAAGCAGGAUCACUAAGGGCAAAGAAUGCUCGUUACUUGCGGAAAAGGCAUUUCUUUUGGAGGAAAGAGUCAUUUCCAAAGUUAAAAAUUUCAAAAUCAUUAAUAUGAUUUUAGAUGCAAUGUCCUCUAAGAAUACGGUCAUCGUAAUAGAAUAAUUACGAGUAAUUCUCGUGGACGGAUGACAGAACUGCGAAAUCCAACCGGCGGAUUGACGUUAAACGUUGCCGGAUAAUUGAUGACCGGUGGUUACGAUCCUACCGAACGUUGGAUUCCUCAUACGAUGGCGUCAGAUGGUCAUCUUUGACGAUUUAGGAAUCAGAAGACAGAAGAUCUACAAUAUAGAUAGAAGAAUUGUAUACAGUUGGAUCAUAUAAUUUUCUGAAAAAUUAUACAGGCAUCUUAUGCAAAACCGGGAGCCGAUAACAAGUUACUGACGGCAUACGAUUAAUGAUACACGGAACCAGUCCACAAUGGAUCAGCGAUAAGAUUGCGUUAACGCAAGUAGCUCUUGCGGGCACAAUUCGAGCUUUCUAAACAUAAUCGCCGCUGGCUGGUAGACAGUUCGCUCGAUUUCCUCCUCUUCUUGUUCGCGGUUUCUUCUGCGUCGCCGUCUGCCACGUUCGCGCUGUAAUAUUGUAUUUCGUUCGCGUCAGCGCCAGCUGACGGAAAAAGAUAAUGGGGCGGCAGCGAUGCGGCGUAUCUCCGGAUCGCAAGCGACAGAUCUCGCCGCGCAGAUGAUUCAUUCAGCGCAAUGAUAAUCCGAUUCAUGCGUUCCACCGCUCUAACUGGUUUCAAUGGAAUUCCAGUUUUAACCUUUUGAUCGCCGUGCAUAUGCUUGCCUCUGCCUUAUACGUGCACGAAAUCAAGUUCGAUUAACCCUGAAAUGGCUAAGCAGUUUGUCUACGUAAUAAUUCCUUUUCUUGAGAUAGCUGAAAAGCACGUUCGAGUAAUAAAUAAGCUGGGGAAGCUAUCCCCUAAGCCAAAGGUUUCUCAAAUAGUUCAAAGAAGAUGCGUCUACAUUCUGGGACUUUCCAGAAAUAUUUCAAACGGGAAAACUUUUGUACAAAUUCACUCCUUGAAUGUACAUGGAAAUAACGCAAUUUAGAAGGAUCUUGUAAUAUCUUUUUUUAACGCUCGUUUCCUAUUACCGUCAGAGAUUCUUCUCGGAACAGCGGGCAUUGAAAGGCUCUGUUCCCACAGAAUCCGUAGGUACAGUUUUUUCCUGUUCGUUUUCUGCUGAUGUCUAACUCUUGCAGCAUCAAUCACCUGUCAAUCGAUGAAAAGUUUCUGAUUUAUGCAGAGUGUCUGCUUGAAAACGGACACCCGUAUCGUCAUGCUAAUAUCGGAAACAGCUAGGGGCUCUAAAGGAGUUUUCGUACAUGAUUGUGUCACGAAUUAUCUCACAAUCUCUGAUAAUAAAUAUUCAGUGUUUCCCGAUCGUUAGGUAAAUUAGUCACGACAAUGGCGUCCUCCGCUGGAACAUUAAAAGAAGCUUGAAUUACAAUAGAGGAAAAAAAACACUUGCAAUCGAUCAUUCAUAUAACAUAGUGGCUCAACACUACUCGAUGUCUACGGUUCAGUGGUUUCUCGAUGCGAGAUUCGAGAAUACAAGCCGGACACUAUAUUAGAAUCAAGCACGCUAGUAAUGGAUCCGAGCACUUUGCGAGCAACGCAAUCACGAGCAUUUAGGAGCACUGCUAAUUGCGCUUACAGAAGCAUUGAAUCGUAGCAGAGCAUGUUCGAACUCUUUGUGAAAUUUCCACUUUCCUUUCUCGGAUUUAUCUCGGCGCAAAAACCUCCGUGAUUUAACGAUUGUCUGUUGCAGAUACCCAGAAGCCAUUAUUAUGUUUUCGUUAAGAUCGUUAGUGCAUUGCUAUUUAGCAAUCUUAUGUACGUGAUGUUGUACAAUCAAAUAAAGCGAGAUAAAUCUUGUAUAUUGAUUCGAA